rnacentral:rRNA from 1 species
AUAUGGUAGGAGAGCGUUCUGUAAGCCUGCGAAGGUGUCUUGUAAAGGAUGCUGGAGGUAUCAGAAGUGCGAAUGCUGACAUGAGUAGCGAUAAUGCGGGUGAAAAGCCCGCACGCCGUAAGCCCAAGGUUUCCUGUUCAACGUUCAUCGGAGCAGGGUGAGUCGGCCCCUAAGGCGAGGCAGAGAUGCGUAGCUGAUGGGAAGCAGGUUAAUAUUCCUGCACCGUCGUAUGAUGCGAUUGGGGGGACGGAUCGCGGAAGGUUGUCUAGCUGUUGGAAUAGCUAGUUUUUGACUCAUAGAAGGUGCUUAGGCAAAUCCGGGCACGUAAUUCAAGGGGUCGAGACGAGUCGCCAUGUGCGACGAAGCAAUCGGAAGUGGUUCCAAGAAAAGCCUCUAAGCUUCAGUCAUACGAGACCGUACCGCAAACCGACACAGGUGGGCGAGAUGAGUAUUCUAAGGCGCUUGAGAGAACUCGGGAGAAGGAACUCGGCAAAUUGGUACCGUAACUUCGGGAUAAGGUACGCCCUAGUAGUUUGACCACUUUACUGUGGAAGGAUGAACGGGUUGCAAUAAAAUGGUGGCUGCGACUGUUUAAUAAAAACACAGCACUCUGCAAACACGAAAGUGGACGUAUAGGGUGUGACGCCUGCCCGGUGCUGGAAGAUUAAAUGAUGGGGUGCAAGCUCUUGAUUGAAGUCCCAGUAAACGGCGGCCGUAACUAUAACGGUCCUAAGGUAGCGAAAUUCCUUGUCGGGUAAGUUCCGACCUGCACGAAUGGCGUAACGAUGGCCACACUGUCUCCUCCCGAGACUCAGCGAAGUUGAAAUGUUUGUGAUGAUGCAAUCUACCCGCGGCUAGACGGAAAGACCCCAUGAACCUUUACUGUAGCUUUGCAUUGGACUUUGAAUCAAUCUGUGUAGGAUAGGUGGGAGGCUUUGAAGUAGGGACGCCAGUCUCUAUGGAGCCAUCCUUGAAAUACCACCCUGGUUCAUUUGAGGUUCUAACCUUGGUCCGUUAUCCGGAUCGGGGACAGUGCAUGGUAGGCAGUUUGACUGGGGCGGUCUCCUCCUAAAGUGUAACGGAGGAGUUCGAAGGUACGCUAGGUACGGUCGGACAUCGUGCUAAUAGUGCAAUGGCAUAAGCGUGCUUAACUGCGAGACCGACAAGUCGAGCAGGUACGAAAGUAGGACAUAGUGAUCCGGUGGUUCUGUAUGGAAGGGCCAUCGCUCAACGGAUAAAAGGUACUCUGGGGAUAACAGGCUGAUUCCUCCCAAGAGUUCAUAUCGACGGGGGAGUUUGGCACCUCGAUGUCGGCUCAUCACAUCCUGGGGCUGUAGCCGGUCCCAAGGGUAUGGCUGUUCGCCAUUUAAAGUGGUACGUGAGCUGGGUUUAAAACGUCGUGAGACAGUUUGGUCCCUAUCUGCCGUGGGCGUUGGAAAUUUGAAGGGGGCUGCUCCUAGUACGAGAGGACCGGAGUGGACGAACCUCUGGUGUACCGGUUGUCACGCCAGUGGCAUUGCCGGGUAGCUAAGUUCGGAAGAGAUAACCGCUGAAAGCAUCUAAGCGGGAAACUUGCCUUGAGAUGAGAUUUCCCGGAGCCUUGAGCUCCUUGAAGGGUCGUUCGAGACCAGGACGUUGAUAGGUCAGGUGUGGAAGUGCAGUAAUGCAUUAAGCUAACUGAUACUAAUUGCCCGUAAGGCUUGUCCCUAUAACCUU